rnacentral:rRNA from 1 species
GAUGAACGCUGGCGGCGUGCCUAAUACAUGCAAGUCGAGCGAACAGAUGAGGAGCUUGCUCCUCUGACGUUAGCGGCGGACGGGUGAGUAACACGUGGAUAACCUACCUAUAAGACUGGGAUAACUUCGGGAAACCGGAGCUAAUACCGGAUAAUAUAUUGAACCGCAUGGUUCAAUAGUGAAAGACGGUUUUGCUAUCACUUAUAGAUGGAUCCGCGCCGCAUUAGCUAGUUGGUAAGGUAACGGCUUACCAAGGCAACGAUGCGUAGCCGACCUGAGAGGGUGAUAGGCCACACUGGAACUGAGACACGGUCCAGACUCCUACGGGAGGCAGCAGUAGGGAAUCUUCCGCAAUGGGCGAAAGCAUGACGGAGCAACGCCGCGUGAGUGAUGAAGGUCUUCGGAUCGUAAAACUCUGUUAUUAGGGAAGAACAAAUGUGUAAGUAAAUAUGCACGUCUUGACGGUACCUAAUCAGAAAGCCACGGCUAACUACGUG